CCUACGGGAGGCUGCAGUGGGGAAUAUUGGACAAUGGGGGGAACCCUGAUCCAGCCAUGCCGCGUGUGUGAAGAAGGCCCUCGGGUUGUAAAGCACUUUCAGUGAGGAAGAACGCCUGGUGGUUAAUACCCAUCAGGAAAGACAUCACUCACAGAAGAAGCACCGGCUAACUCCGUGCCAGCAGCCGCGGUAAUACGGAGGGUGCGGCGUUAAUCGGAAUUACUGGGCGUAAAGCGCGCGUAGGUGGCUUGAUAAGCCGGUUGUGAAAGCCCCGGGCUCAACCUGGGAACGGCAUCCGGAACUGUCAAGCUAGAGUGCAGGAGAGGAAGGUAGAAUUCCCGGUGUAGCGGUGAAAUGCGUAGAGAUCGGGAGGAAUACCAGUGGCGAAGGCGGCCUUCUGGACUGACACUGACACUGAGGUGCGAAAGCGUGGGUAGCAAACAGGAUUAGAUACCCGGGUAGUC
rnacentral:rRNA from 1 species